GAUGAACGCUGGCGGCGUGCUUAACACAUGCAAGUCGAACGAUUAAGCCCAGCUUGCUGGGUGGAUUAGUUGCGAACGGGUGAGUAACACGUGAGUAACCUGCCCUUAACUCUGGGAUAAGCCUGGGAAACUGGGUCUAAUACCGGAUAGGAGCGUCCACCGCAUGGUGGGUGUUUGAAAGAUUUAUCGGUUUUGGAUGGACUCACGGCCUAUCCGCUUGUUGGUGAGGUAAUGGCUCACCAAGGCUACGACGGGUAGCCGGCCUGGGAGGGUGACCGGCCACACUGGGAUUGAGACACGGCCCAGACUCGUACGGGAGGCAGCAGUGGGGAAUAUUGAACAAUGGGCGCAAGCCUGAUGCAGCGACGCCGCGUGAGGGAUGACGGCCUUCGGGUUGUAAACCUCUUUCAGUAGGGAAGAAGCGAAAGUGACGGUACCUGCAGAAGAAGCACCGGCUAACUACGUG
rnacentral:rRNA from 1 species